rnacentral:rRNA from 1 species
GAUGAACGCUGGCGGCGUGCCUAAUACAUGCAAGUCGAGCGAACGUCAUAGAAGCUUGCUUCUAUGACGUUAGCGGCGGACGGGUGAGUAACUCGUGGGCAACCUGCCUGUAAGACUGGGAUGACUUCGGGAAACCGAAGCUAAUACCGGAUAGGAUCUUCUCCUUCAUGGGAGAUGAUUGAAAGAUGGUUUCGGCUAUCACUUACAGAUGGGCCCGCGGUGCAUUAGCUAGUUGGUGAGGUAACGGCUCACCAAGGCAACGAUGCAUAGCCGACCUGAGAGGGUGAUCGGCCACAAGGGGACUGAGACACGGCCCAGACUCCUACGGGAGGCAGCAGUAGGGAAUCUUCCGCAAUGGACGAAAGUCUGACGGAGCAACGCCGCGUGAGUGAUGAAGGCUUUCGGGUCGUAAAACUCUGUUGUUAGGGAAGAACAAGUACGAGAGUAACUGCUCGUACCUUGACGGUACCUAACCAGAAAGCCACGGCUAACUACGUGCCAGCCGCCGCCGUAA